rnacentral:rRNA from 1 species
UACAGAGGGGGCAAGCGUUGUUCGGAAUUACUGGGCGUAAAGGGCGCGUAGGCGGCCUGCUAAGUCGAACGUGAAAUCCCCGGGCUCAACCCGGGAACUGCGUCCGAUACUGGUUGGCUUGAAUCCGGGAGAGGGUCGCGGAAUUCCCGGUGUAGAGGUGAAAUGCGUAGAUAUCGGGAGGAACACCAGUGGCGAAGGCGGCUUCCUGGCCGUGUUCUUGACGCUGAGGCGCGAAAGCUAGGGGAGCAAACGGG